UCGUGCGCCGCUAACGGCAUCGCAGCCAGGAGAAAGCCGGAGAAAAUAAAACCGAGCUCAGUGCCGCGCUCCGGUGGUGACAACCGGGCGUUGCGGCGCGGAGGUACGGCAGGUAACUAGCCGGCUCCGAGCUGCGGUGCGCCCCGGGCCCUGUAGACCGGAUUUCAGGCUGCGGAAAUAAAGGCCGCUCCGCGCUGCCCUUCUGGGGCUGGAGCCCGGAACAAGCCCGGCUCCGUGCCGCCCGCCCUGCGCGGAGCAGCCAGGAUUUAAAGCCAGAAAAAAUAAACACCUGUCGUGUGCUGCUCCCCUGGCUUUGAAACCGGGCUUCGCAGCCAAGAGAGGAGGGCAGCGAGUGGGGAAAAAAGCGGCUCGGGCAGGCGGCUGAGAAAGGCAGAGAGAGAGGAAGAAAAAAGGCCGCGCUUGGGGCGUAACUCGAGCAGUGCCCGCGGCCGAGACGAGGCGGGCUCGCGCUGCUCGGCGCGGACACAGCGAUCCCGGCCCGCGCCGCGCGGCAGGGCCGGCAUCAGAGCCGCGUCUUCCCGUUGGCCGCUCUCAGGAGUGCGGCGAUUGGCUGGCAGGGCUGUGUGGGCGGGGUCAGGCCUACGCCGGCCUUGUCUUUGUUCCCUCUGAUUAGCCGCUGCCAGAGGAGGCGGGUUCAGGACUCGCCCGCCUUCUCCGCGGUCUGAUUGGCUGCAAUGGAUUACUGAGAGGGGUGGCGAUUGGUCCGACUCCUGUCCCCAACGGAGCCGUUCAGCCGGCCGGGCGCCGGCGUGCGCCGCGGGGAAGUGGGUGCGUCCCCCUUUGCCCCAAGCCGCGCGCCCCGCUUCCGGACCGGUGCUGCCUGGCGGGCUCCGUUCCGACCUGUGUCGUUGGCAGCAAGAUUUGCACGGAGUUUCCCCUUUUUGAAGGAGAAAAGAAAAAGAAAAACCCGUUGUUCAGUAAGACGUGCAAGGGAUCACUUCAAUUCCAGUGGAGAGUUGGGGAACGUCGCUGUAAAUUAAGUAAAAUAUUGAACCGAGGGGAUUGAAGUGACAGUGUUAAUCGUUGUGUGCUUACUUUGGGAAAUCGUAUGUAUGCAAGAAGAGUGUGCGUGCGUGUGUGUGGGAUAGGUGCCAUAAUUAGCAGUGAACCCACUACUGUCUACAGAAGGGGAAAUCGAGAUAGGUAUGCACGUAUUCCGAUGUUUGCUUCCCGACCUACAAUAAUGUGUGCAGCUCAUACAUCUAUAACAGGGGCAUUGUGCACCCAUGGCGAGUGUCAGAAAUACACUUCUCGGCGCGGCCUCCCGUGCUCCGAGCUGGGCGCAGCAGCCGCCGGAUCAAGGCACCGAGGGGAAAUCCCUGCUGAGUGCUGCCCUCGUGGGGGUACCGCCGGGAACAAGCCAGCUCCGUGCUGCCGUGCUGUGGCUCACCCGCGGGCCUGCAGCCCGGCUGUAGGGCAGAGGAAAUAAAGGCGGCUCCGCGCUGCCCUCCUGGGGCUGGAGCGGCGCUUGGAGCCCGGAACAAAGCCGGCGCCGUGCCGCCCUCCCUGCGCUCCAACCUGCGCGCUGCAGCUGGGUUUUCAAGCCAAAGAAAAGAAAAUCUUCCCCUGCACUACUUCCCUGUGCUUCCCUGUGGGCUUUGCAGCCGCGAGAGGAGGACAGCGAGAGCACGAAAAGCGGCCCCGGCCGCGCACCUGUAGAUCAGGCAGGCGAGAGAUAAAGGCAGGGAGAGAAGAAAAAAGGCGUCGCUCGCUCGGGGCGUUCCCGGAGCAGUGCCCGCGGCCGGGGCCAGGCGGGUUCGCGCUGCUCGGGGCGGACACACGAUUCCCGGGACAUUGAUCCCAGCCCGAGGAGCGCGGCAGGCCCGGGAUCGGAGUCUUGCGUUUCUAUUGGUCAUAUUAAGGCAUGAGGCGAUUGGGUGGAGUUGUCACUUGGGCGGGAUCAGGGCCGCUCCGCCCUUCUUUGCUCUGAUUGGCCUCUGCUGGAUGAGGCGGGUCCGGGAGCACGCCCUCCUUGUUCGCAUUCUGAUUGGCUGCCGGGGAACGGUGGGUGAGCUGCCCUCUUCUGUGUGCUGAUUGGUCCGACUCCGAUCCUUAGCGGCCCUCUUUAGCUGUUCGUCUGUGUCCUCCUGGCUCAGCUGUGCCCAGAGCUCACGUCCCGCAGCUGUCCCGGACACCCGGGCGGUCCCGGAGCGCUGCGGCAGGCUGUUCUGGCGGCCACGGCGGGUCGUGCGGGAGAUUGCGUUCCCCACGCUGCGGGGCCUGUCAGGCUCUCUUCUGAGAUGGGGAUGGUGAUAUAGAUAUGCAUGUAUUCUCCCGGAGCAGCCGGGAUUUCAAGCCAGAAAAAAUAAAGACGUGGUUCGGUCUGAGCGCUGCAGCCAGGAGGAGCGGUGCUGACGAUAGGAGGACAACCCGCUGCUCAGAGCUGCCCUCCUGUGGCCGCGCCCGGCAUUGCUGCGGGAAGAUGCGGGCGGACACCCAACGGUCGGGAGUGCCGCUUCGAGCCCGGAGAGGCGGGCAGGGAACUAAGUGGCUCGGUGCCGCCCUCCCGUGCCAAAACCUUGGCAUUGCAGCCAGGAGAAAGCCAGAGAAAAUAAAACCCAGCUCAGUGCCGCGCUCCUGCGCUGAUAACCGGGAAUUGCAGCGUGGAGGUAGGUACUGCAGGUAACUAACCGGCUCCGAGGUGCCCGGGGCACUGCAGCUCGGAUUUCAGGCAGCGGAAAUAAAGGCCGCUCCGCGCUGCCCGCCUGGGGCUGGACCGGGGCUCGGAGCCCGGAGUUACGGGCCGGGAACAAAUCCGGCUCCGUGCCGCCCUCCCUGCGCUUCACCCUGCGCGGAGCAGCCGGGAUUUCAAGCCACAGAAAAUGAAAACCUGCCCUGGCUUUGAACCUGGGCUUCGCAGCCGAGAGGGGAGGGCAGCGAGAGCAGAAACGCGGCUGCAGCCGCGCACCUGAAGCUCCGGAAGGCGGGAAAUAAAGGCAGAGAGAGAAGAAGAAAAAAGGCCUCAGGGGGGAUGUAACUGGAGCAGUGCCCGCGGCCGGGGCCAGGCGGGUUCGCGCUGCUCGGGGCGGACACACGAUCCCGGGACAGGGAUCCCGGCCCGGGAGUGCGGCUGGGCCGGCAUCGGAGCCUCGCGUUUCCAUUGGCCAUGUUAAGACGUGAGGCGAUUGGGUGGAGUGGCCGCGUGGGAGGGCCGCUCCGUCCUUCUUCGUUCUCAUUGGCCUCUGCCGUAGAAGGGAGCGCGCCUUCUUUGUUCGCAUUCUGAUUGGCUGCCGAGCAGUGGUGGUGGUGUGCGGACUUCUGUGCGCCGAUUGGUCCGACUCCGACCCGCAGCGGACCCGGCCAGCUGCCCCAGACCCCGGGCGGACCGCGACCGCUGCGACAGGCUACCCGGGAGCGCGGGGCUGCGGGGGCGGGUUGCAUGCGGGGCACGGGCUGCGGCUCGGGGCAGUCCCCGAGGAAGCAGCAGCGCUGCGGACGGGUUUGUGAGGUGCCGCCGCCCGGCCGCUCUCUCCGCCGAUCGCCCCGCGCCUGCGCCGGGUCGCCGCCCCCGCCCCCGUGCGGCGCCCGGCCCAGCCCGGCCUCGUGCCACGGGGGGCCGCGUCUGGGGUUGCGGGGCGGGGCGGGGCCGGCGAGCGGGGCGUGGGGCUGUGCGGGCACGGGCGUGGGCUCGUGGGAAACCCGCCACUUUGUGUGGUGAUUUGGAGGCGUUUGUACGGAAACGUUUGUGGAAAUGUGGGACAGCUGGACAAUUCUGUGGGGAUCGGGAACUUUCCUGUGGAAAUGUGUGGAAUUGUGUGUUCUUUCGGUUCGUUUGUUCUUGAAAACUGGUCAUUCUGUGCAGUGAUAAAGGACUUGUUUGGAAAUGAUUGUGACUGUGGAAAACGUGAUUUGGGAACCGUUCCUGAAAAUGUGUGUGGAAAUAUGGUAGAAAAUGGUGUGGAAAUGUUGGGGUCAUUUGGGAACGUUUUUGUGCGGUGUGGUAAGCAUGUUGAAAUAUGGUUAUGUUGUGUGAGGGACAUGGUGUGGGGAUUUGGAAACCUUUUUUGAGGGCACGUGGUGGGUUUUGUGUGGAGCCGCCGGCCGGGCAUUUCCUGUCAUGGUGCGAGAAGUCUUAAUGGGAAUGUCAGGGUAGUCUGGAUGUGGGCUUUGAGUGGCUGCAGCAAGAAGGUUCUGGCAGGUGACAAGUGUGUGGGGCCACUGUUCCCUUGUGCCGAGCAGGAGCUUCUGCUUGGCCAUUGCCCCUAUUGCUGCUGCUCACUGUGGGUGGGUGACUCCAGAGCAGGUGCAAGGUAGGCCAGGGUCGGGGCUGUGCACACAGGUUCCGGCUGGUCUGGAGAUGGUCCUGUCUGCCAAGCCCAGAGUGGGAGCAGGGCAGAUGGGGGCAGAGCUGUGUUGGAGCUAGAAAGGCUGUCCAGCUGCAGCCGUGCUGCGUGGCCAGGGGGCAGCGGGUUGCACCAUGGGCUGGCCAGUACCUGUGUUGGGUUGGACUGUGUGUGGUGAUAAAUGGCCUUUUUUGGAAAUAUGGUGACUUUGUGGUAAGUUGAGUUUUUUUGGGAAGGGGGUACUUUUUUGGUGGGACGUUGGUAAUUUUGUGUGGUAAUGUGGAUGUGUUUUUGUGGAAAUGUUUGUGGAAAUAUGGUUGUGUCGGGAGAAUUCUGGUGAUUUGGGAAUGAUUUUUCUGGAAAUGUGUGCAAAUGUCAUUUUUGUUGUGGGAAACGUGAUUGUAUGGACUGAUGAUAUAGUACCUUUCCUUGGAAAUACGGUGGUUCUGUGUGGAAGACUGGCUACACUUUGUGGAAACAUGUAUAGCGAUAUGGUGAUUUUGUGUGUGGAAAAUGGCGUGGUAACUUUAGGGUGAGUAGGGAGGUUUUUUUUGGAUGGCUGGUGUGUCGUGGGACCUGUGUAAAAUUGUGUGGCAAUUGGGUUAGUGUAUGGAAAUAUGGUUAUGUUGUACGAGGGUAAAUUGUCUGGGGAUUUGGAAACCUUUUUUGUAGGAAUCUGUGUAGAUAAGUGGUGGUGAUUGUGUGUUGAUUUAGAAACUCUGGAAAUGUGCUGGGUCAGCCCAUGGUGGUCAUCUGAUCCACUGCGGUGCCGUUAAUGGUGCGUGCCAUUUCACCCAUGUGAAACUGUCUAACGUGGGUCUGCCUUUUCUCUCAGACUGCUCCUCGUGCACCUGUCCUUGGAGCCAGUGUGUCAGCGAGGAGCUGCAGCAUGACAGAGGCAGCACUUGGGGCGGAAGGGCCCCCAGGACCUGUCAUAUCUGCAGGGGUCACUCCGGGCACUCAGACGGGUGUGCAGGGCCUGCGGUGGUCCCUUGGAAACAGCCAGGGCAACACAGGUAACAGGUGAGUACAUGUUUCUGCUCUGACACGCUCAGCGGAUAGAACACACCAGCAGUUGCCUAGGCUUCUGCCUGGGCGCACACCAUCCAUGUGUCCUGCUCCUAUUGUAACACCUCCAGUGACUGCAGCUCUUGCCUCUAACUGCAUGUAGCACCCUUCAAAACCCUUCUCUUGGCUAUGCUGUAUCUAUGGAGGCAACAGUGCAUGGGGACUCUGUGGUGUCUGGCACUUCCGAGCAGGUGCAGAACUCCACUGAGCCACCCCAGGUGCCAGAAGUAUCAUUCUCAGGACAGAGGUCCAGUCAGGAGCUAGAUGAAACAACACGAUUGGACAUCUCUGAAAGACCGUCUGUGGAAGAUGUCGAGUCUGAAACUGGCUCCACUGGAGCCCUCGCGACCAGGAGCUUAAAGGACCACAAAGGUGAGGACAAGUGUUACUUGGAACAUGAGCCAGUCAGCCUUACAGACCUGAGGCUAGGGUGAUGGUCAUAUCUCUUGGCUGACUAACUGUCCACUUCUGCAGUGGGUGAUGGUAACUUCAUUCCUUAUCUGUUUUGCUAAUCCUACAAAGUGAUGUGUGUUUAGGCAAGAUGGUUGUGAUUGCUUCCAGAAAAAAUGUCAAAGCAGUCACACAGCCAACCUGUGUUAGCAGCACAAAUUGCAGGAAUGGGACUUGGACUGGCAUGUUCUCCAAGUAGGUGCGCAAAUAAAAGGAGCAAGCAAGGUGCACUGUCAAAUACAAGACAAAUGUGAAGUCAGUUUUAAGACCUAUUUUACCAAGUGUCCAAUAUCAUAACUGCUAAAAGCGAUGGGUCAGUUGAGGGAGACCUUGCUACAGAGCUUUUCUGAAUUGAGAGGUGGGAGUUGGUGAAACUACUAAUUGUGUGAUGCAAGAUACUAAUGUAGUUUGCAUAAAGAAACAAAACAUGUCUAUGCAGGUGAGAUACUUACUGAUGGGGAGAUGCAGUAGUCUAUAAAUGGCAUGGGUUUUUUUGUUUUUGAGCUCUACAGUCAGAAUGAAGUCAGCCUCAUACUGCAUGGAAAUAAAAGUGCAGAUUUAAAAAAAA